GAGAUCACCACUAUUGGGGUUCGAUUAAGCCAUGCGAGUUUUUGGCAGCAAUGCCAAGGCGAACUGCUGAGUAACACGUAGUCAACCUGCCCUUUAGUCUGGAAUAACCUCGGGAAACUGAGGAUAAUACCGGAUAGAAGAUAAUGCCUGGAACGGUUUAUCUUCCAAAGCUUCGGCGCUAAAGGAUGGGACUGCGGUGGAUUAGGUUGAUGUUAAGGUAAUGACUUAACAUGCCUGUAAUCUAUAGGGGCUUUGAGAGAAGUAGCCUCCAGAUGGGUUCUGAGACACGAACCCAGGCCCUACGGGGCGCAGCAGGCGCGAAACCUCUACAAUGCACGCAAGUGUGAUAGGGGAACCCCAAGUGCCGGCAUACUAUGUCGGCUUUUUAGGAGUUUAAAUUGCUCUUAGAAUAAGUGAUGGGUAAGACCGUUGCCAGCCGCCGCGGUAAUAACGGCGUCACAAGUGGUGGUCACGAAUAUUGGGUCUAAAGCAUCCGUAGCCGGUUUAUUAAGUCUCCUGUGAAAUCUGACAGAAAACUGUCAGGCGUGCAGGAGAUACUGAUAAACUAGGAACCGGGAGGGGUUAGGGGUACUUCUAGGGUAGCGGUGGAAUGCUGUAAUCCUAGAGGGACCACCUGUGGCGAAGGCGCCUAACUGGAACGGAUUCGACGGUGAGGGAUGAAAGCCAGGGGAGCAAAGGGGAUUAGAUAUCGAAAAUCGGAGAUUUUCUGCAUUUAGCCGAUUCUCGACUAAAUACCCCCGUAGUCCUGGCUGUAAACGAUGCCCGCUUGGUAUUGGGAACCUUACGUGGGUUUCCAGUGCCGUAGGGAAGCCGUUAAGCGGGCCACCUGGGGAGUACGGUCGCAAGGCUGAAACUUAAAGGAAUUGGCGGGGAGCACACAAGGGGUGUAGUCUGCGGUUUAAUUGGACUCAACGCCGGGAAACUCACCAAGGGUGACAGCACUGUGAUGGUCAGUCUAAAGGGCUUACCUGAGGCGCUGAGAGGUAUUGCAUGGCCGACGUCAGCUCGUGCCGCAAGGUGUCCUGUUAAGUCAGGUAACGAGCGAGACCCGCACCUUAUGUUGCCAGCUUGUUCUUCGGAACUCGCGCACUCAUAAGGUACUGCUCGCGAUAAGUGAGAGGAAGGUGCGGUCAACGUUAGGUCAGUAUGGUCCGAAUCCCUUGGGCGACACGCGGGCGACAAUGGUAGGGACAAUAGGAUGCAACUCCGAAAGGAGGAGCUAAUCCCUGAAACCCUAUCUUAGUACAGAUUGUGGCUUGCAACUCAGCCACAUGACGCCGGAAUCCCUAGUAAUCGAAAGUUAGCAUCUUUCGGUGAAUACGUCCCUGCUCCUU
rnacentral:rRNA from 1 species